GUAGGUGGCAAGCGUUGUCCGGAAUUAUUGGGCGUAAAGCGCGCGCAGGCGGCUUCUUAAGUCUGAUGUGAAAUCUUGCGGCUCAACCGCAAGCGGUCAUUGGAAACUGGGAGGCUUGAGUGCAGAAGAGGAGAGUGGAAUUCCACGUGUAGCGGUGAAAUGCGUAGAGAUGUGGAGGAACACCAGUGGCGAAGGCGGCUCUCUGGUCUGUAACUGACGCUGAGGCGCGAAAGCGUGGGGAGCAAACAGGAUUAGAUACCCUGGUAGUCCCACGCCGUAGACGAUGAGUGCUAAGUGUUAGAGGGUUUCCACCCUUUAGUGCUGCAGCUAACGCAUUAAGCACUCCGCCUGGGAGUACGGCCGCAAGGCUG
rnacentral:rRNA from 1 species